CUGUAUUGCUACGAGCAAAUGUAAUGUUAAUCUUGUUUGUUUUCGUAAGAAUUAAUGUUUAAAUCUCAUUGUUAGAAAAAAUGGUACUGUCGCUUUAAGAGGGACUGGAUCUCAGACACAGGAAGUUGCAUAGGCUAUAGAGUGAGGAAAUCAGGAAGCAAGCACAUGGCACAGAGUGGAGGUUGUUAGUCGAGUCAAUCCAGCUGCAUCUGCAAACGUCUUCUGCUUUUUGUUAGCAUCGUAGGUAUGUAUUGAAAGUUAAAUAUAUUCUUUGUCAUAUUAGUUCAUUAUUUUUGGGAAAAUUAUAUUUUGUAAACAUAUAUUUACACACUGGGAAAUAACAUUGCCAAUUUGGGUUUAUAAGGCGGAUAUAUGUGUUAACCCCUUCACUGAAAUAAGUCAACAGAUAAAUACAUAAUUCAUGGCAUGUUAAAAAUAUAAAAUAUGUAAACUAAAAGUACAAGUUAAUGAGUACAGCUGAUUUCAUUGUUAAACAGUGAUUUAUUUGAUUUCUGUUGAAUGUGUUUGUUUAAGAGGAAACAGAACUGAUUAUAAUUUGUAUGUUUCAGUUUCACCUUCCUUGCUACGUCAAUAAACCUGUGUACAAGGAGUCAUCUGUCUGCAGAGUCUUGAUGUUCAAGGAGGCGUUUAUCUGACUGUCAAGUCAUAUAGAGCACGUAUGAUGAGGACAGCACAGUGAAACUACGGCUCUCAGUCCAGCGGGAUAACGCAAUGUAAGCUGAAAACAAGACUAAAUCCCCACACAUCAUCAGUGGACAACAAUUACUCUUCAAGAUCGGUAAGACUACACCAUGGCAGAGGAGGCGUCUUUAAAGACACGUUCACGAGCCUCAUGUUCAUCAGUACAAUCAAGUGUUUCAGCAACUGGGUCUGCUGCAACAAAGGCAAGAGCAAAGGCUGAAGCUGCUAAGGCACGGCUUGCCUUUGUUGAAAAAGAAGCUAGUCUGCAGCUAGAAAAAGUAAAAUUGGAGGCAUCUUUAAAGAAACUUAAAUAUGAGGAAGAGUCAGCAGCAGCUAUUGCUGAAGCAGAAGCCCUCGAAGCUGCAGCUGAUAUUAACAGUGAAAAAAGUGAAAAGCAGAGCUCUAAGUUAUGCUUAGAUUCUAUUCCAUUGGACUCUUCAGCACGCACAGAGCAAUAUGUUGUCAACCAAAAUCGGAUACGGGAAAAUAACUCACAGCCAUUUGUUGAUCCAACAAAAACCGAACAGAUGUCUAAUUGUGUUCUGUCUGACCAACUUAAAGUAUGCUGCACCCUUUCUUCCAAACUGCAUUACUACUGCAUCCCAAUCACAACCCAUUGCUCUAGAUCCUCCUCCAGUUGGUCGCAAAGAAAGAUUUGAGCAUGCUAGGAUGCAAUACGGUAACUGUCGUGAUUCCCAAUAUUGCAGACCUUCAAAUACGACACCUUCCUGUCCACAACCUGCACUCACAAAUAACGACAGCUCAAACAUGAGUGACUUUGUACGAUAUUUAGCUCGUCGGGAGCUUGUGGCAACAGGUUUAUUACAAUUUAAUGAUAAACCACAGAACUACAGAGCCUGGAAACGUUCCUUUCUGUCCGCAACACAGGAUUUAAACCUGUCACCGAGUGAAGAAAUGGAUCUUCUGCUGAAGUGGCUCGGCAAAGAAUCAGCACAACAUGUGGAACAGAUAAGAGCGAUACACAUCAACUAUCCACAAGCAGGACUGGAUAUGAUAUGGAACAGACUUGAUGAAACCUAUGGAUCAGCUGAAGCUAUAGAAAAUGCGUUGUUCAAACGUAUUGAAGACUUCCCAAAAAUACCUAACAGGGAUUCCUAUAAGCUAACCAAACUGGGCGAUCUUCUAAUGGAACUUUCAUCUGCCAAAACUGAGGGCAACUUACCUGGUCUGUCUUUCCUCGACACAGCUAGAGGAGUCAACCCAAUCGUGCAAAAGCUACCGUUUCGCCUACAGGAGAGGUGGGCAACAGUCGGUGCAACCUACAAACAUCUAAAUGGGGUCACCUACCCUCCCUUUGCUUAUUUUGUUGACUUUGUAUGCCAGGAGGCUAGGAUCGCCAGUGACCCAUGUUUUAACUUCAUCUCUCAUACAGACGCAACACAGAUGAGCAGACCGGCUCCAAGGUCGAACAAGUUUAAGGAAGUAUAUGUGCACAAGACAGAAAUCUCUCCUCAAGCCUACACGUAUACUGAAAAAAGAUUAAGACCGGAUGAAUACGACAAAAUGUGUCCUAUACACAAGAAACCUCACCCUCUGCAUAAAUGUCGCACAUUUAAAGAGAAACCCAUCAAGGACCGUAUGACAUUUCUAAAAGAAAAUAACAUUUGUUACCGGUGUUGUUCGUCCUCCACACACAUUGCCAGGAACUGCAAAAUGAAGCUACAAUGUGAAGAGUGUAAGAGCGAAAAUCACCACACAGCACUGCACCAAGAACCCAGAAAGGGGGUGAACGCCUUACAUGAGCAUGGCGGGGAGGAUGACGAACCAACAGAACAACCAAAGGUAAACUCAAAAUGCACCGAAGUCUGUGGUAGCGAAUGGACUGAUCGUUCUUGCUCCAAAAUAUGCCUUGUAAAGGUGUACCCAGCUGGCCACAGAGACAAGGCUGUAAAGCUGUAUGCCAUACUGGAUGAACAAAGCAAUCGAUCACUUGUGAGGUCACAUUUUUUUGAUGUCUUCAACGACCAGAGCCCAAGCGCUCCAUAUACACUGAGAACAUGUGCUGGGGUUAAGGAGGCAGCUGGGAGAAGAGCUAGUGGCUAUGAAGUGGAAUCAUUAGAUGGAAGUGUGCGCAUCCCACUACCAAGUCUCAUAGAAUGUAAUGAUAUUCCUAACAACAGAGAGGAGAUUCCCACACCAGAGGUGGCCUUUCACCAUCCACACUUGGAGUCGUUGGCUUGUCUUAUCCCUGACAUCGACCCCCAUGCCCAGAUCAUGUUGCUGCUUGGUCGAGACCUUAUUAGAGUUCAUAAGGUGCGCAAGCAGGUGAAUGGCUCACACAACCUACCUUAUGCUCAAAAACUCGACCUAGGGUGGGUUAUUGUUGGAAAUGUAUGUCUAGGAAGUAACCACAAGCCACAAUCAAUCAACACCUUUUACACCAAAACCAUGGAGACAGCACGCCCAACGCUCUUUGAACCUUGCCCCAAUGUGUUCAGUGUUAAAGAGAAAUAUGACAACACACACAUUCCGAUACAUCCUUCGUCCUUAUCUGAGAUUAAACCAGACUGUGAGGCGGACCAUCUUGGUUAUGUUGUCUUUAAAGAGACAAAGGAGGACAACCAGCUGGCUCCUUCAAUCCAGGAUUCCCUUUUUAUGGAAAUAAUGAAUGAAGGUCUGCAUAAAGAUGCAAAUAAUAGUUGGGUGGCGCCUUUACCCUUUAAACAUCCACGACAGCGGCUGCCCAACAAUAAGCCUCAGGCAUUGAAACGACUCAUCUCCCUGAAAUACAACUUCAGAAGGAAGCCAGAAAUGAAGGAACAUUUCAUCAACUUCAUGGAGAAGAUGUUCGAAAAAGGCCAUGCAGAAGUAACCCCUCCGAUAGUAGAUGACAAAGAACAGUGGUACUUACCCAUUUUUGGCGUGUACCAUCCGAAGAAGCCCGGCCAAAUUAGAGUUGUGUUUGACUCGAGUGCUCAGUACGAGGGUGUGUCACUCAAUGAUGUCCUGCUGUCUGGACCAGACCUGAACAACUCUCUGCUGGGUGUACUUCUGCGGUUUAGAAAGGAAGCAGUUGCCUUCACUGUCGAUAUAGAACAAAUGUUCUACUGCUUCUAUGUGAGAGAAGAAGACAGAAACUUCCUGCGUUUCCUGUGGUUCCAAGACAAUGACCCUUCUAAAGAUGUUGUGGAUUGUCGUAUGAAUGUACAUGUCUUUGGAAACAGACCUUCACCAGCAGUGGCUAUUCAUGGUCUCCAUCAGUCUGUCCAAGAUCGAGAGUCCAAGGUUGAGCCUGAUGUCAAGAACUUUGUCACACGUGAUUUUUACGUGGAUGACGGUCUUAAAUCCAUGCCCUCCACCGAAACAGCAGUGAGUCUCCUGAAAAGGACUCAAGAGGUUCUUGCUAAGUCAAACCUCCGACUGCACAAGAUAGCCUCAAACAAAAAAGAAGUUAUGGAAGCCUUUCCGUCCACUGAUCACGCUAAUAGCCUCAAAGACCUUGAUCUAGAUGAUGACUCACUGCCGCUGCAACGCAGUCUUGGACUCAACUGGGACCUCCAAGCAGACUGUUUUGUGUUCAAUGUCUCAGACAAUGUGAAACCAUACACUCGGCGGGGUGUAUUAUCCACUGUUAACAGUCUUUACGAUCCUCUUGGAUUUGUGGCGCCAGUAACUAUCCAAGGAAAGGCUAUUCUGCGAGAACUAACCACUGAAAAAGGAGAUUGGGACUCACCAUUACCAAAAGAUAUGGAGCAAAUCUGGGAGUCAUGGAGAGCAUCUUUAUCACAACUGUCUGGGUUUUCUGUUCCCCGACUAUACACACAAACAUCGCCUUCAGAAGCUUACAGAAGAGAACUGCAUGUCUUCUGUGACGCAUCAAUCAAGGCUAUUGCUGCAGUAGCGUAUCUAAGAGUCGUUGAUGCACGUGGAAAUUGUUGUGUUGGAUUUGUGAUGGGCAAAGCCAAACUCGCCCCUCGUCCUGAAAUGACCACGCCAAGAUUAGAACUUUGUGCAGCAGUUCUUGCAGUAGAACUGGCAGAUUUAGUCUCUACAGAAAUGGAUCUCCAGCUCCAUACUAUGUCCUACCAUUCAGACAGCAAAGUGGUCCUGGGCUACAUUUAUAACGAAAACAGGCGGUUCUACGUCUUUGUCAGCAACAGAGUACACCGCAUUCGGAAAUCAUCCCUUCCAAACCAGUGGCACUAUGUCCCAACAGACCAAAAUCCUGCAGAUCAUGCUACACGUUCUGUUGUGGCAGGUCACCUAAAGAACACAAACUGGUUGAGUGGCCCAAAAUUUCUGGUAAGUCCAGAACCAAGUAUCAACAAUGACACCUUUGAUCUUGUGGACCCGGUUGCAGACCCAGAUGUGAGGCCUUGGGUGUCUACCCUGUCUACCACAGUGUCUUCAAAAAACAUUGGUAGUGAACGCUUCACCAAGUUCUCUGCAUGGAACUCUCUCACUCAGACCAUGGCUCGGCUGUUGCACAUAGCAAAGAUGUUCAGCACAGCGAAAAGGGAGGUCCGAUCCUGCAAAGGCUGGCAUUGCUGUAAGACAAAGGUAACUGUGAAGGAAAUCGACCAAGCUGCAAACGUUAUUGUGCGUACGGUGCAGGAGGAAAUCUAUGCUGAAGAGAUCAAGUGCAUUCAGAAGUCAGAAAGAAUUCCUAAAGGCAGCCCUCUCUACAGACUGGACCCAUUCAUCGACAAAGAUGGACUUCUCAGAGUUGGGGGCCGUCUCGUCCAUUCCACUCUUGGGCAAGUCGAAAAGAAUCCAUUGAUCGUCCCUGGGAAACACCAUGUUGCAACCUUGAUAAUAAGACACCAUCAUGAACAAGUACACCAUCAAGGCCGCCAUUACACGGAAGGAGCUAUUCGGACAUCAGGAUUUUGGAUAAUUGGCUGUAAAAGAAGGGUUAGCAGCAUCAUCAACCAGUGUGUCACCUGUAGACGACUAAGAGCUCCUUUGAGUGUCCAGAAGAUGGCAAAUCUUCCAACAGAUCGUUUGACUACAGAUCCUCCGUUCACAAAUGUGGGCCUGGAUGUGUUCGGGCCGUGGCACAUCUGUUCACGUCGUGCAAGAGGUGGCCUGUUACACAGUAAAAGGUGGGCUGUAAUAUUUACGUGUAUGAGUGUAAGAGCUGUUCACAUCGAGGUCAUCGAGUCACUUGACGCAUCAAGCUUCAUCAAUGCAUUGAGGCGUUUUCUUGCAGUGCGAGGGCCAGUCAAGCUCAUACGUUCAGACCGUGGCACUAAUUUCGUCGGAGCCUGCAAGGAGUUAAAUAUACCCUCAAACAUUGACAACUCAGCGAUCAACACUUACCUCUUGAAAGAGGGAAUAACCUGGAUCUUUAAUCCUCCCCAUGCUUCCCAUCAUGGUGGUACAUGGGAGAGAAUGAUUGGCCUGGCAAGAAGAAUACUUGACACCAUGUUCCUUCAGCUAAAAGAUAAACUUACCCAUGAAGUGUUGGUGACCUUUAUGGCAGAAGUAGCGGCUAUCAUCAACGCUAGGCCUCUGGUGCCAGUUACACAUGACCCUGAAGAUUUGUACAUGCUCACUCCAGCCACUCUUCUUACUCAAAAGGUAAACGUCCUUCCAGCUCCUGUUGGUGACUUCGGAGUGUCUGACCUCUACAAGUCUCAGUGGCGCCAGGUACAACACUUGUCCAACACUUUCUGGGACAGAUGGAAAAAGCAGUAUCUGCCCACACUUCAGCCACGCAGGAAAUGGCAGUCUACACAACCUAACGUGACAGAAGGAAGUAUUGUUCUUUUAAGAAAUAACGACCUGGCAAGGAACGAAUGGCCCACUGGACUGAUAACGAAGACUUUUCCAGGUGAAGAUGGAAAAGUGCGGGAAGUUGAAGUGAAGAUUGUAAAACCAGGAGGGACUGCACUCUAUCGUAGACCUAUUACAGAGAUAGUAGUUCUCCUUCCGAAAGAGGAUUAGUCAUACAAACUGUUGAAGUUGUUAGUGACGUGUAUACACGCCAGGCGGGGAGUGUAUUGCUACGAGCAAAUGUAAUGUUAAUCUUGUUUGUUUUCGUAAGAAUUAAUGUUUAAAUCUCAUUGUUAGAAAAAAUGGUACUGUCGCUUUAAGAGGGACUGGAUCUCAGACACAGGAAGUUGCAUAGGCUAUAGAGUGAGGAAAUCAGGAAGCAAGCACAUGGCACAGAGUGGAGGUUGUUAGUCGAGUCAAUCCAGCUGCAUCUGCAAACGUCUUCUGCUUUUUGUUAGCAUCGUAGUUUCACCUUCCUUGCUACGUCAAUAAACCUGUGUACAAGGA